AAGCAUCCUUUGUGGUGUACUCUUAUCACGUGGUUCGUCCCAGACAUAGACAUACCCCUUUGAAGUAGAGAAACCAUAGUUAUCCUCUCUAUUCUGCUACCAUCGCCCAUAUACUAGAAUUGCUCUACUCUCUAUUCCCAUAUUAUCAACCAUUGUUAUCUUACCUUUAAUAUUGUUCUUAUUCAAUUCUACCAUCUUUCCUAUUUACACUUAUCUAUCUAUCUUGGUUAAGUUAGAGCGUAGUUGGUUCUCCCGUUUCCCUGUGGAUACGAUAAAACCUUUAACCGGGUAAAAAGAUUCAACGGUAUCCGUGCGCUUGCGGAU
rnacentral:lncRNA from 1 species